CCUACGGGCGGCAGCAGUGAGGAAUAUUGGUCAAUGGGCGAGAGCCUGAACCAGCCAAGUCGCGUGAAGGAUGACGGCCCUACGGGUUGUAAACUUCUUUUGUCAGGGAGCAAUUGAGUCCACGUGUGGGCUUAGCGAGAGUACCUGCAGAAAAAGCAUCGGCUAACUCCGUGCCAGCAGCCGCGGUAAUACGGAGGAUGCGAGCGUUAUCCGGAUUUAUUGGGUUUAAAGGGUGCGUAGGCGGAAUAUCAAGUCAGCGGUAAAAAUUCGGGGCUCAACCCCGUCGUGCCGUUGAAACUGAUGGUCUUGAGUGGGCGAGAAGUAUGCGGAAUGCGUGGUGUAGCGGUGAAAUGCAUAGAUAUCACGCAGAACUCCGAUUGCGAAGGCAGCAUACCGGCGCUCAACUGACGCUCAUGCACGAAAGUGUGGGUAUCGAACAGGAUUAGAUACCCCAGUAGUC
rnacentral:rRNA from 1 species